rnacentral:rRNA from 1 species
UAAGGAAUAUUGGUCAAUGGGCGCAAGCCUGAACCAGCCAUGCCGCGUGCAGGAAGACGGCCCUACGGGUUGUAAACUGCUUUUGUACCGGAAUAAACCUUUGUAUGUAUACGAAGCUGAAUGUACGGUAAGAAUAAGGAUCGGCUAACUCCGUGCCAGCAGCCGCGGUAAUACGGAGGAUCCAAGCGUUAUCCGGAUUUAUUGGGUUUAAAGGGUGCGUAGGCGGCCUAUUAAGUCAGGGGUGAAAGACGGUAGCUUAACUAUCGCAGUGCCUUUGAUACUGAUAGGCUUGAAUGUACUUGAGGUAGGCGGAAUGUGACAAGUAGCGGUGAAAUGCAUAGAUAUGUCACAGAACACCAAUUGCGAAGGCAGCUUACUAAAGUAUGAUUGACGCUGAGGCACGAAAGCGUGGGGAUCAAACA